GAAUCUAUAGCUCAGUGGAUAGAGCAUUGGUUUCCUAAACCUUGUGCGAGGGUUCAAUUCCCUCUAGGUUCA
rnacentral:tRNA from 1 species